CUUCUUUUUAUCCCCUUUUUGGCCCUUCUAAUCUCUGAAGAAAUUUCGGCAGUAGCUAACUCGCAACUGAAGCUCCUUUAAUCCUUAUGACUUCAGCUUACAUGAUAUAAAUGUAUUUUGACAUGGUGUUGGGACUUGAAAUGUUCAUUUAUAUGAUUUGUGCUGUCUGAUUGUAGAUUGAUAUCGAAAUACCUAUUUCUUGCAGAUUUGUGAAUCAUGCAGCUGGUAUUGAUUGUUGAUGAGUUAAUUUCAUAUUAAGCUUCAAGAAAACUGAAUCAGAUAGUCUGUGGGACCAAAAGUUGCUUAGAUAUGAAUUUUGCAUUUCCAGUUGUAGUUGUCAGCAUCAUUCUAAUACUUGGUAUUUAAUCAGAUUGCAAUGAUGAUGUAUGAUGAUUGUCAGAGAGUUCAAGCGAAGUUUUAUAUCCAUGCAGUCUAAGCAACUGAUAAGUAGAGUACUGAAUGAGAACUUGGGACACUUUCCUUUCUGUGAAUUCUGGCUUCUGUUGGACUGUAUUAUCAUUUGGUAUUUACAUGUUGAAGUCCUAUGGAAGCACAUUGUUAUUAGAUAUUGUGGGACGGCUAAAGCUUUAAUUUGUCUCAAAAACGUUUUACCCAAACCUUAAUAAUGUUUUCUUUUGUGGUGCUAGAGAAGGUACUUUAUUGACCCUAUUCUAGUUUCUUGGGAGUAUUGUUUGAACUUUGAAGCAUCUAAUUUAUCUAUUUGCUGCAAGUUGCUAUUCUUGUCUGAUUAUAGAUUGCUGUGUAGAUACUAUCAUUUGAUUCUUGAUGAGUUAAUGCCUUAAAUAACCCUCCAGAUAACUGAAUUGGGUAGGCUGAAGGCUUCUUGCUUACAAUUUUUUUCCCUUUCUUAUUUUACUGUUAGUUUAAUCAUGCUUAGGGUCAUUCUAAUACUUGGUAUUUAAUCAGAUUGCAAUGAUGAUCUAUGAUGAAUGUCGGAGGGUUCAAGCGAAGUUUAAUGUCCAUGCACUCUGAGAGAAUGUCUGAAAAAUAGAGUACUGUAUGAGCUCGAAUGAAGAAAUAUAUAUUUUCUUCUGUGACUGUCAUCUGAUUUUCAUUAUAAUCUUCCCAUAUGACCUUUUCCAGUAAAUUCUGGCUUCUUUGCAGUUUUUAUUGGGUUGUAUUUACUCGUUUAGAUCUUUGAAGCUCCUAGUGCUUAUGACUAUACAAGAAAAUGAGUAAACUAGUAUAAUUCAAGGUAUCAGAUUUAUAAUAUUUUUGCCAGUUCAAGUGAAAUAAACCUAAUCUUUAUCUUUGAUUGGUUAUAUAUUGCCAAUCUGUGGGAAAUUCUAAGUUUUGUUCAAGGAGUUAUACGCCAUCCCUGGAUACAUCAAAAUCUGAAGAAUGUAAUAUGUAGGUUCUUGGACUGAGCUAAAUGUCGAAGUGUAUUCGUUAGUGUGGUAUGUGCCUCUGAUUUAAAAUUUAAU
rnacentral:lncRNA from 1 species